rnacentral:rRNA from 1 species
UACGUAGGGGGCUAGCGUUGUCCGGAAUCAUUGGGCGUAAAGCGCGUGUAGGCGGCCUUGUAAGUCCGUUCUGAAAGCCCGGGGCUCAACCCCGGGAGGCGGAUGGAUACUGCAAGGCUCGAGUCCGGAAGAGGCGAGUGGAAUUCCCGGUGUAGCGGUGAAAUGCGCAGAUAUCGGGAGGAACACCAAUGGCGAAGGCAGCUUGCUGGGACGGUACUGACGCUGAGACGCGAAAGCGUGGGGAGCAAACAGG